GAAGCAGCUGCCAAAUAGUUAAUGUAGUGUUUAUAUAUCAAUCGGUUGCUUGUUUAACACCUUUAGGAUACAAGCGCUGCUUAGAACUCUGGAACGUUGGAGUGGCAUACAAUGAAUGCUUGCCUUGUUAUGCCUGAAAACUGUCUGCAUUCAUGCCUAUAGGCUGAUGAAGAUCCUGUUAUCGGAUUCCACCAGACAUUUCUAUUAAAGAACAUCAGUGAUGCUUGGGUUUGCACCAAUGACAUGUUCAGGCUAGCAUUGCACAACUAUGGUUGACAUGACAUCCCUGAGGCGCCUGCCUUUUUGUUUUCUCCUUCUCUCCUUCUUACCAAUAUUAAUCACACCCAUGGAUCAUUCCAAAUAUCAUACACAAACCUGCACACCAUGGCAAGCAAGCAAGACUUGUGACAUACCCUUCCGAAGAGUUUUAUGUUGUGUCACUAGAAGAGUUCCUUGUGCAUGAUGUUUGGAAGUUAGAAUUAGCUGCAUUUGACAAAGGAAGGGUAUGUUUUACCAGCAUGCCUUGGGAAGAAUCCAUAAUACAAAAAGGUUCUGUUUCUGUACUGACAAGUUUCUCUAAUAACCCAAAGAAACAAAAGGAUAUGAAAGAAUAGCCAGCCUGAAGCCAACUCAGAUAAUUGAUUUCUCUUUUUUCCUUUUUUUGGUUGUUCACAUAUUUCAGUGCUACAUUAUACAAUAAAACCAUGUGAUUUUCUUAACA